CCUACGGGCGGCAGCAGUGAGGAAUAUUGGUCAAUGGACGAGAGUCUGAACCAGCCAAGUCGCGUGAAGGAUGACUGCCCUAUGGGUUGUAAACUUCUUUUAUAAAGGAAUAAAACGAGGCACGUGUGCCUUUUUGCAUGUACUUUAUGAAUAAGGAUCGGCUAACUCUGUGCCAGCAGCCGCGGUAAUACGGAGGAUCCGAGCGUUAUCCGGAUUUAUUGGGUUUAAAGGGAGCGUAGAUGGGUUGUUAAGUCAGUUGUGAAAGUUUGCGGCUCAACCGUAAAAUUGCAAUUGAUACUGGCAGUCGUGAGUACAGUUGAGGUAGGCGGAAUUCGUGGUGUAGCGGUGAAAUGCUUAGAUAUCACGAAGAACCCCGAUUGCGAAGGCAGCUUACUAAACUGUGACUGACAUUGAUGCUCGAAAGUGUGGGUAUCAAACAGGAUUAGAUACCCCAGUAGUC
rnacentral:rRNA from 1 species